rnacentral:rRNA from 1 species
GUGAAAUUGUUGAAAGGGAAGCGCUUGCAAUCAGACUUGCAUGCAGUUGAUCAUCCGAUGUUCUCACCGGUGCACUCAUCUGCAUUCAGGCCAGCAUCGGUUUUGGUGGUUGGAUAAAGGCCCUGGGAAUGUAGCUUCUUUUGGGGAGUGUUAUAGCCCAGGGUGCAAUGUGGCCUACCAGGACCGAGGACCGCGCUUCGGCUAGGAUGCUGGCGUAAUGGUUGUAAGCGACCCGUCUUGAAACACGGACCAAGGAGUCUAACAUCUAUGCGAGUGUUUGGGUGUAAAACCCAUACGCGUAAUGAAAGUGAACGGAGGUGAGAACCCUUAAGGGUGCAUCAUCGACCGAUCCUGAUGUCUUCGGAUGGAUUUGAGUAAGAGCAUAGCUGUUGGGACCCGAAAGAUGGUGAACUAUGCGUGGAUAGGGUGAAGCCAGAGGAAACCCUGGUGGAGGCUCGCAGCGGUUCUGACGUGCAAAUCGGUCGUCAAAUCUGCGUAUAAGGGCGAAAGACUAAUCGAAC